CUAUGUCAGGUAACUGUCAUGGCGGAAGGAG
rnacentral:ncRNA from 1 species